UCACUUGCUUCAGCGGUGGCGGCCCGUUGGUUCCCUUCACCUUCCAACUUCCGUUUCCCUUCCAUAAUUGUCUGCACUGCCUCUCCACUUCCCCUUCUUCUCCUUCUUCUCCUUCACUGCCACACCUUCCCUUACCCUGUCCACGACCUCCAGCGCCAGUCUGCACUGCCUCCUCGGCUCCUCCACUUCCCCUUCACCUGACCACCUUCCUUUCCCUGUCCUGACUCAGCACCGACGGACAGCACACGAUGAGAUCGACCCCGGAUGCAGCACCACACCCUCGGCCGCCGCACGCGGGCGCCAUGGACACCGGCGUGUUGAAGCCAUCCACCAGGUGACUCGGGCAUCCCCCGUGUCCUCUAUAUGCGGUGGCGGGAGCCGCGGCCGGGCGCGCCGUCACAGCGGAGGCCGCCGCCACAGUCGUUUGUGAUGCUGCUGCCUUUGCCAUGAGCGUCGAAGGCGUAGCCUCGGCUUGUGCGCCACACGCGGACUGACCAUUGUCUUUUAGAAUCAAGGAGAGAUGAAUCUGAAUCAAUGCUCUACGGUGAUGCAUUUGGAUAACUGUUUCGAACUAAUACAUUUGAGGUUGAGUUGCUUCUCAGGUUUGUGCAUUGGAAUUUAUUGUCGUCUGUUUCUAACAGAGGGCUCACCGGCGAAGGAUAUCGAGUAGUUCCGACUGAUUCUCGAUGAGGCCCGUGUGAUCAAGAACUUUGCAGCUCGGCAGAGUAAGCCGGUGAUUGCUUGGAAACGCAGAGGCGGUGGGAAGUCACAGGGACACCAAUUCAGAAUAGAUCACUUGAUUUGUACCCACCCAGUUAUGGCAUUUUUGAAGUUCAAACCUUUCUCAAUCAAGAGCUAUUGGCAGAGUUUGAUCCAGCGCCCAUGAGGCUGGGCUCGCACACGGCUACAGACUGCACGUACACGAUAUGGACUCAAUCUCUCCUGAUAUUCUGGCCAACGAAUUAAGCUUGUUAGCUUUGAAACUUGCUGGCCAAGAGAUAAGAUUUUCUGGUUGAGAAGGAGUCUAUAAAAGGCCACGUGCAGCAGGUGUUUUGCAAUCAAUUUUGGAGUUCUUCCACGUCCAUCUGAGCUUGGCUUAGAGAGAGCUACGUCCACGAAAACCCUGCUGGUUCAUCUCCUUUUGAGUGCACAAUAGGAGAUAGGAGAUCAUUGUAUCUUGGAGGAGAGCCGCUGUUGAACUCGUGCACCACGGCGAGGGCGUGAAUCUCCUUGAAGACAGCGCCUACCGGCGUGCCUUGAUCCUUCAGAGCUGCUGCACCACGACCUGCUGCAACAACUUCGUCCAGAACCUGUUCGAGCUGGUGCCCACGACGACGUCGAUUCCAUCAAUUUUUAAUCUCAGGCUUUGGCCCUAUGGUAUUCUGUAGUAUCUUCUCACGUGUGUGCACGGAGUCACUCAUCUAAACUGUGAGUUCAGUCCUCUGCAAUAUAUCAUCAACUCCUUUAAUCAACGUCGUUUCCUCAAGAUGGUGCUUCUACAGUUCUAUGUGGUUCGAGCUUGGAAUUAAUUUAAGUUCCUCCUUUUUGCCAGUGAUGGUAUUUGCAUUGUGAUGUUAACUUUUUGUUGUCAUCUCAUACUAUAUGAUUUAGCAGUUAGUCAAUCAACAAGAAGAGAUAAUCAUGUGUAGGUGUGUAUUGAAAUUUUUUGAAUUGCAGAAUUUUCUUUGCCGGUGUACAAUUUUGGAUCUGUUUUGUUAGUCAUCGGUUACAUUUUCU